UACGGGGGGGGCAAGCGUUGUUCGGAAUUACUGGGCGUAAGGGGCGCGUAGGCGGCCUACUAAGUCGGACGUGAAAUCCCUCGGCUCAACCGAGGAACUGCGUCCGAUACUGGCAGGCUGGAAUCCGGGAGAGGGAUGUGGAAUUCCAGGUGUAGCGGUGAAAUGCGUAGAUAUCUGGAGGAACACCGGUGGCGAAGGCGGCAUCCUGGACCGGUAUUGACGCUGAGGCGCGAAAGCUAGGGGAGCAAACGGG
rnacentral:rRNA from 1 species